UACGUAGGUGGCGAGCGUUAUCCGGAAUUAUUUGGGCGUUAAAGAGCGCGCAGGUGGUUGAUUAAGUCUGAUAGUGAAAGCCCACGGCUUAACCGUGGAGGGUCAUUGGAAACUGGUCGACUUGAGUGCAGAAGAGGGAAGUGGAAUUCCAUGUGUAGCGGUGAAAUGCGUAGAGAUAUGGAGGAACACCAGUGGCGAAGGCGGCUUCCUGGUCUGUAAACUGACACUGAGGCGCGAAAGCGUGGGGAGCAAACAGGGAUUAGAUA
rnacentral:rRNA from 1 species